UUUGUGGCGUCGGAUUUAUGUGAAAUAUUCACAGACUGACUAACUUAGAUUUUGAUCUGAUAAAUAUUAUUUUAGGAUAUCCCAAAGAAAUUAAGGAUAUUCUUUUAUCUUCUUAAUGGACAUUGGAUAUUCGUGAAUUUUAAGAUAUGCUUUUUGAAAAAAAAGUUUUUUGGUGAAGGAACUCAUGUUGUUAAGAAUAAGCUUGGUGAAGCUUGAUACGUAGAAAAACUGACUCUGACAUAUAAACCAACAGAACCAGAUUUAAUUAGAUUAAAUUCGAAGCCUGAUGUAAAGGCAUCCUUGAGGAGAUACAGUAGAGUACCAUGUCAGUCAGACAGAUACUUCAGUUUUUAGAUUCGAGGUGGGGAUUUAAUCUCCCAUACGGAUGUUAUACAGGGAUCUAACUUUGAGAAGUAGCUUGGAGCCAUUAAAUCUGAAAUAAAGUCUAUGAAGAUCGACGAUGUAUGGACAUUCGUUGAUUCAUCUGAAGGGGUAAGACCCAUAGGGUGUAAGUGGAUUUUAGAUGGAUAAAAGGUGCACACGAAAAUGUAG
rnacentral:lncRNA from 1 species